rnacentral:rRNA from 1 species
AUUGAACGCUGGCGGCAGGCCUAACACAUGCAAGUCGAACGGUAACAGGAAACAGCUUGCUGUUUCGCUGACGAGUGGCGGACGGGUGAGUAAUGUCUGGGAAACUGCCUGAUGGAGGGGGAUAACUACUGGAAACGGUAGCUAAUACCGCAUAACGUCGCAAGACCAAAGAGGGGGACCUUCGGGCCUCUUGCCAUCGGAUGUGCCCAUAUGGGAUUAGCUAGUAGGGGGGGUAACGGCUCACCUAGGCGACGAUCCCUAGCUGGUCUGAGAGGAUGACCAGCCACACUGGAAGUGAGGCACGGUCCAGACUCUGACGGGGGGAAGCAGUGGGAAAUAUUGCACAAAGGGGGAAAGCGUGAUGCAGCAAUGCGGGGGGAAUGAUGAAGGACUUAGGGUGGUAAAGUAAUUUAAGAGGGGGGGAAGGAAGUAAAGUUAAUACCUUAAGUUAUUGACGUUACCCGAAGAAGAAGCCCCGGCUAACUACGUG